rnacentral:lncRNA from 1 species
CUUCAAGUCAGGUCAAGGUCUGCUCCACAUGUCUCUCAUUUUUCUUAGAACAGUGGCUGCCCCAGGGCAGAAGCACAAGAAAUAUACAAAGUCUCUUAAGGCCUUCCCUCAAAACUGACAUACUGUUGCUUUUACCCACAAGCCACUAGCCAAAGUAAGUCACACGGUGUAUUAAUCGGGUCCUCCAGUGAAACAGAACCAAUAAGACAUAGGUAUAGAUAGAUAGACAUAGACAGACACAGUCACAGACACAGACAUAGAUGUGAAACUUAUUAUAAGGAAUUGGCUUAUGCAAUUAUGCAGGCUGGGACGUCCUGCAAUCUGCCAUGUGCAAGCCAGAGACCAGGAAAGUUGGUGGUGCAGUUCUGAGAACUGGAGAGCUGAUGGUGUACGUCCCAGUUAAGGGUAGGAGAAGACUGAUAUCCCAAGUCAAUCAAUCAGGCAGAGAGAGCAAAUUCUUCCUUCGGUUUUUUGCUCUAUUCUGGCCCUCAAGGGAUUGGCUGAUGCCUACCUACAUUGGGGAAGAAUCUGUUUUACUCAGUCCACCAAUUCAAAUGCUAAUCUCAUAGAGAAACACCCUCACAGACACAUUCAGAAUGAAUGUUUAAUCUGGGCACCCCAUAUCUCAGUCACGUUGACACAUAAAAUCAAUCAUCACAUAUCACUAAGCCUAAUAUCGAUAUAUCAGUUGGGCAGAGAAACACUCCACGGGAAAACAAUCCAAUUUACCACAGGAUUCCUGGAAGAUAUCCAAGGCAGAAGUGAGAAAUCUUGAAGGGAAAAAAAAAAUCAGGGAAAAUGAGAAUAAAACUUAUACCCUAUUUAUAUAGUUUUAUUCAUUACCAAAACUUUAGACUAUAGUAUCAUUUUUCUUUGAUCAUGCAGUCUCUCACUACGAUUAACUGAAUGAUGCAUACUAAAAUUAUAGAGACAAGUUAGACAAAGUAUUAUGCGUCAACUUCCUAUGCCAUAAGACGACACUAGUAAACAACUUCCUUAUGGGCUCAGGAUGAAACUGAGUAAUGUAUUAAGUAGGCAAAACAGCAUCAUCUGGUGAUAACUUAAUGAUUUUAGAAAACACACAGUAGGAUCCUAAUAUAAGAUAAACAACCCAGUUUUUCUUUUUUCCUUUAGUAGCAUCCCUGUUAUAGGAAAACUAAGCUGAAAUUGAAUUAACUAAGUUGAAAUUUGUUUAAUGCUUUUUAGAAUCUAGAUGUUGCCUUCCUCACCACACUUACCAAACUAUACUGCAGUCAGUAUGGUAGAUUACAAAACCAGCCACACUUCCCUACUCUUCCCUUUAUCUAUACCCUCUGCAAUGCACCUGUAUAAGUCUUCCUAUCAGGAGGUGGAAUUAGCUCACACUUUAAGUCUAGGCCAGUUUUGUGACUUGCUUUAGACAGUAGAAUUCAGCAUAAGUGACAUCCUACAACAUCUGAGUAUAGGCUCGCAUCUCACAAACUUCCAUUCUCUCUUGGACCUUGUCAUCAUUAUGAGAACAAGUCCAAGCUAGUCUGCUGGUAAAUGAGACACCACAUGGAACAGAGCUGUUUUGUCCCAGCUGAGAUUAUCCUUGAUGAACCAGGUCCUGGGCCACAGGCCUCCUCACACAGAUGCACAACUGGGAUUAGCCCAGAUUGGCAAAACCACCCAACAAACUCAUAGACUUGUGAGAAAUAAUAAAUUGGUUUUUGCUCUUUUAAGACACUAAGUUUUGGGGUUGUUAUGCAUCGGUAGUUACUGACACACGUGGAGUGUACUCAGCCCAGUCUUCUACCUCACCAAUGAUGUUGGGUAUGGCCAUGGUGCUUUGGCCAAUGGCAUGUAAAAGGCUGCAAUGUGAACGUAAACCUUAUAUGUGCUUGUGUGGGUGGGCUAGGCCUCUUGGAGUGUCCACUGUCUAUGAAGCCCCAUGAAGUUGUUGUUCUUUCAGCUUGAGUUCUGAAAUGCAAACAUGAAAACUUGAAAUUGACCUGAAACCUGUACUCCAUCCUAGACCACCCAAGAUCGAUCAAACCACAGCUGACCUGCAGAUUUGAGGAAGGGGAAGAAAAAGUCAGGAGUUAGCCAUGGAACCAAGAAGAUCCAGGAGAAGGUUGAGGGGAUGUUCAGAGAAGUGGAAAAUGAGAGAUUGAUUAUCAUGGAGGAAAAGCCCGAGAAGGUCCAGUAAAAGGUUUGGGAAGGUGAAGGAGGA